UACGUAGGGGGCGAGCGUUGUCCGGAGUUACUGGGCGUAAAGCGCACGCAGGCGGUCUGCUAAGUUUGGAGUGACAGUAGGUGGCUUAACUGCCAAAGUGCUUCGAAAACUGACAGACUUGAGGGCUUCAGAGGGACACGGAAUUCCGGGUGGAGUGGUGAAAUGCGUAGAGAUCCGGAGGAACACCAAAGGCGAAGGCAGUGUCCUGGGGAGUACCUGACGCUCAGGUGCGAAAGCCAGGGGAGCGAACGGG
rnacentral:rRNA from 1 species